rnacentral:rRNA from 1 species
AUGGAUCCGCGCCGUAUUAGCUAGUUGGUAAGGUAACGGCUUACCAAGGCAACGAUACGUAGCCGACCUGAGAGGGUGAUCGGCCACACUGGAACUGAGACACGGUCCAGACUCCUACGGGAGGCAGCAGUAGGGAAUCUUCCGCAAUGGGCGAAAGCCUGACGGAGCAACGCCGCGUGAGUGAUGAAGGUCUUCGGAUCGUAAAACUCUGUUAUCAGGGAAGAACAAAUGUGUAAGUAACUGUGCACAUCUUGACGGUACCUGAUCAGAAAGCCACAGCUAACUACGUGCCAGCAGCCGCGGUAAUACGUAGGUGGCAAGCGUUAUCCGGAAUUAUUGGGCGUAAAGCGCGCGUAGGCGGUUUUUUAAGUCUGAUGUGAAAGCCCACGGCUCAACCGUGGAGGGUCAUUGGAAACUGGAAAACUUGAGUGCAGAAGAGGAAAGUGGAAUUCCAUGUGUAGCGGUGAAAUGCGCAGAGAUAUGGAGGAACACCAGUGGCGAAGGCGACUUUCUGGUCUGUAACUGACGCUGAUGUGCGAAAGCGUGGGGAUCAAACAGGAUUAGAUACCCUGGUAGUCCACGCCGUAAACGAUGAGUGCUAAGUGUUAGGGGGUUUCCGCCCCUUAGUGCUGCAGCUAACGCAUUAAGCACUCCGCCUGGGGAGUACG